UACGGGGGGAGCAAGCGUUGUUCGGAUUUACUGGGCGUAAAGCGCGCGUAGGCGGUUUUUUAAGUCAGAGGUGAAAGCCCAGUGUUCAACACUGGAACUGCCUUUGAAACUGGAAAACUUGAAUCUUGGAGAGGUCAGUGGAAUUCCGAGUGUAGAGGUGAAAUUCGUAGAUAUUCGGAAGAACACCAGUGGCGAAGGCGACUGACUGGACAAGUAUUGAUGCUGAGGUGCGAAAGCGUGGGGAGCAAACAGG
rnacentral:rRNA from 1 species